rnacentral:rRNA from 1 species
GCAAGUCGACCGCUGAAGCCCUGGUGCUUGCACCGGGGUGGAUGAGUGGCGAACGGGUGAGUAACACGUGAGUAACCUGCCCCCGACUUCGGGAUAAGCCCUGGAAACUUGGUCUAAUACCGGAUAUGACGACCGAAGGCAUCUUUGGUUGUGGAAAGUUUUUUCGGUUGGGGAGGGGCUCGCGGACUAUCAGUUUGUGGGUGAGGUAAUGGCUCACCAAGACGACGACGGGUAGCCGUCCUGAGAGGGCGACC